rnacentral:rRNA from 1 species
GAACCUUACCUGGGCUCGAAGCGCAGUGGAAUGAGGUGGAAACAUCUCAGCCCGCAAGGGCCGCUGCGGAGGUGCUGCAUGGCUGUCGUCAGCUCGUGUCGUGAGAUGUUAAAAAAAGUCCCGCAACGAGCGCAACCCUUAUCGUCAGUUGCCAUCGGGUCAAGCCGGGCACUCUGGCGAAACCGCCUCGGAUAACGGGGAGGAAGGUGGGGAUGACGUCAAGUCCUCAUGGCCUUUAUGUCCAGGGCUACACACGUGCUACAAUGGUCGGUACAAACCGUCGCAAACCCGUGAGGGGGAGCUAAUCGGAAAAAGCCGGCCUCAGUUCGGAUUGGAGUCUGCAACUCGACUCCAUGAAGCUGGAAUCGCUAGUAAUCGCAGAUCAGAACGCUGCGGUGAAUACGUUCCCGGGCCUUGUACACACCGCCCGUCACAUCACGAAAGUGGACCAUACAGGAUCCAAGUGGGCUAACCGCAAGGGAGCAGCCGUCCAAGGUA